rnacentral:rRNA from 1 species
UACGGGGGGAGCAAGCGUUGUUCGGAUUUACUGGGCGUAAAGGGCGCGUAGGCGGCCACCGCAAGUCGACUGUGAAAUCUCCGGGCUUAACCCGGAAAGGUCAGCCGAUACUGCGGGGCUAGAGUGCAGAAGGGGCAACUGGAAUUCACGGUGUAGCAGUGAAAUGCGUAGAUAUCGUGAGGAACACCAGAGGCGAAGGCGGCUACCUGGACAAUUGCUGACGCUCAGGCACGAAAGCGUGGGGAGCAAAAGGG